CCUACGGGGGGCUGCAGUGAGGAAUAUUGGUCAAUGGACGAGAGUCUGAACCAGCCAAGUAGCGUGAAGGAUGACUGCCCUAUGGGUUGUAAACUUCUUUUAUAAAGGAAUAAAACGAGGCACGUGUGCCUUUUUGCAUGUACUUUAUGAAUAAGGAUCGGCUAACUCCGUGCCAGCAGCCGCGGUAAUACGGAGGAUCCGAGCGUUAUCCGGAUUUAUUGGGUUUAAAGGGAGCGUAGAUGGGUUGUUAAGUCAGUUGUGAAAGUUUGCGGCUCAACCGUAAAAUUGCAAUUGAUACUGGCAGUCGUGAGUACAGUUGAGGUAAGCGGAAUUCGUGGUGUAGCGGUGAAAUGCUUAGAUAUCACGAAGAACCCCGAUUGCGAAGGCAGCUUACUAAACUGUGACUGACAUUGAUGCUCGAAAGUGUGGGUAUCAAACAGGAUUAGAUACCCCAGUAGUC
rnacentral:rRNA from 1 species